rnacentral:rRNA from 1 species
UACGUAGGGCGCAAGCGUUGUCCGGAAUUAUUGGGCGUAAAGAGCUCGUAGGCGGCCUGUUGCGUCCGCUGUGAAAUCCCGGGGCUCAACCCCGGGCCUGCAGUGGAUACGGGCUGGCUAGAGGCAGGCAGGGGAGAACGGAAUUCCUGGUGUAGCGGUGAAAUGCGCAGAUAUCAGGAAGAACACCCGUGGCGAAGGCGGCUCUCUGGGACGGUACUGACGCUGAGACGCGAAAGCGUGGGGAGCGAACAGG